rnacentral:tRNA from 1 species
GGGGCUGUAGUUCAGUUGGGAGAACGCUUCACUUGCACUGAAGAGGUCGCAGGUUCGAAUCCUGUCAGCUCCA